GUAUUUGUAGCAUAAUAGGUAAUGCAAUUAUUUCUUUAUCUCCGUUCUGUGAGAUGCAAGAUUCUGAUUUAGUAAGAUAUGGGUUCGAAACUCAUCUGAUACA
rnacentral:tRNA from 1 species